AGUGAACGCUGGCGGUAGGUCUAACACAUGCAAGUCGAACGGUCUCCCCUUCUCUCUGUCUCUCUGGUUUUCUCUUUUCGGACGGGUGAGGAAUACAUCGGAAUCUACUCUGUCGUGUUUUAUAACGUAGGGAAACUUACGCUAAUUCUUUUUGCGACCUACGGGUGAAAGCAGGGGACUUUGGUGCCUUGCGCGAUUGAAUGAGCCGAUGUCGGAUUAGCUAGUUGGCGGGGUAAAGGCCCACCAAGGCGACGAUCCGUAGCUGGUCUGAGAGGAUGAUCAGCCACACGGGAACUGAGACACGGUCCAGACUCCUACGGGAGGCAGCAGUGGGGAAUAUUGGACAAUGGGCGCAAGCCUGAUCCAGCCAUACCGCGUGGGUGAAGAAGGCCUUCGGGUUGUAAAGCCCUUUUGUUGGGAAAGAAAUCCAGCUGGCUAAUACCCGGUUGGGAUGACGGUACCCAAAGAAUAAGCACCGGCUAACUUCGUGCCAGCCGCCGCAGUAA
rnacentral:rRNA from 1 species